GCGCGCGUAGUUCAGUGGUAGAACGCGUUCCUGAUAAGAACGAGGUCGUAGGUCCGAUUCCUACCGCGCGCA
rnacentral:tRNA from 3 species